AGAAGCGAAAGAGAUAGAUGGUUUAAGAAAAUAGUGGAAACGUAACCUAAAAAAGGGGAACAACCUUUAUAUUGUUGAUAAAGGUAGGCAAAUCUACGGUCCAAACUAAAGGAAUGCAUGUAGACAAAGAUCAACCGAUGGAUUUACCUCGAAAUCACAACGACAUUCAAAUGCACUUUAGCAUGCUAAAUGAUAUAUCAUGCCAUAUCCUAGAGGUCUAGGUCCACAUACAAUAGCAAUCACAUGAAACGAUUCGGUGACAGGACUGACACUUAAUGUGUA
rnacentral:lncRNA from 1 species